CCUACGGGGGGCAGCAGUAGGGAAUCUUCCACAAUGGGCGAAAGCCUGAUGGAGCAACGCCGCGUGGGUGAAGAAGGUCUUCGGAUCGUAAAACCCUGUUGUUAGAGAAGAAAGUGCGUGAGAGUAACUGUUCACGUUUCGACGGUAUCUAACCAGAAAGCCACGGCUAACUACGUGCCAGCAGCCGCGGUAAUACGGAGGUGGCAAGCGUUAUCCGGAUUUAUUGGGCGUAAAGGGAACGCAGGCGGUCUUUUAAGUCUGAUGUGAAAGCCUUCGGCUUAACCGGAGUAGGGCAUUGGAAACUGGGAGACGUGAGUGCAGAAGAGGAGAGUGGAACUCCAUGUGUAGCGGUGAAAUGCGUAGAUAUAUGGAAGAACACCAGUGGCGAAAGCGGCUCUCUGGUCUGUAACUGACGCUGAGGUUCGAAAGCGUGGGUAGCAAACAGGAUUAGAUACCCCUGUAGUC
rnacentral:rRNA from 1 species